ensembl:lncRNA
CGAUUUAGAGAGGCUACCUUUCAGCUUUGACUACUGAGACGGGAAUAGUACUGUGAGCUGAGACGCAUCACAGCCAAAGGAGUGAGUGGAGACAAUGCUGAUUACUGUGAGCCAGAGCCAUAAUGUUGUUGUGCACUGAACAGAACGGAAUUGGCCAGGUGAACCUUUUUGGGGUAUGAAAAAGGAUGGCGAGCCAAUGAACGGCUAGGAGCAGGACACAUUCUGCAAUUGACGCUUCCACCGGUUGGGUAGGAAGCUAUCAAAGACAACGCUCUGUCCCCAUUUUCCAAAUACACUGAUUUCCGCAAUCAUACACACCAUUCCCUUCAUUUAUGGACAAUAGCGCUUGGACAUCUCUCAUGGACAUUCAGAUUAAACUCAUGGACUUCAGUGUGGAUCAGUGGAUUUGAUAUUAACAUGUGGUGUUUAUGGGGGAACUGUUUUUUGAGAACCUGUGUUGCUUGGUAUAAGCCAGACAAAUCUGUUUAGUUGUCUUUGUGUACCCUCACUGGGUUUUUGAUUAAUUGGAUAGCUGCAGCAGGAGUGAUUAUUUAAGUUUUUCUUUUCUUGUUAUUCUUUUUUGGGGUUUGGUUAAAUACAUGGUACCUGCAAAACCAUUUUUUUGUAUUGUGUGUAUUUAUUAAUUACUGCCCAUCAGCUCCAGCAGCGUCCCUAAAUCUUCUGAUUAAUAAUAACCAUAAAAUUACACUCAAUCCCUAGCCUGUAUUAAUUCAUUAGCGCUACAUCAGUGUUACAAAAUGGUUAAACUGCAGGAAUGUCUUAAAGACAUAAAAACCUGGAUGACCUCUAGUUUCCCGCUUCUAAAUUCAGAUAUUGUGGCCUCCAGUAACACUGUGGGAAAUCUUGGAGUCGUUUUUAAUCAAGAUAUGUCCUUCAAUGCACAUAUUAAGCAAAUAUGUAGGACAUCUGUGCGGUCAACAAAAGUUUCUGUCUGUCAUGGUUCUGGAUCUCAGUGUUUUGAGUUUGUUGUGGACUCGUGAUACUUUCUGCUACAUUUAAAAGAUGACUUCAGACUUAGUUCUGUAUAGUUUAGCUUUCUCUACUGCAUCUGGGUUUAUUAUUAGUUCUGGCUUUUGUUAUUCCUAGUCUCAUCUGUGUCUUGCCACCUGUGUUUCCUUUGUAGUCUCCAGGUGUUUUGUUAUUCGUUCUGAGUCCCCAGUCAUGUACUGUGGUCUGUCUGUUUUCUCCCUUCAGGUUUGUAUACUUCAGCAAUAAAACUGAAUUAAGUUCAAGUCUGUAGCCGGAUUUCUGCACUUGGGUCCUCAAUGUGCCUUCCACACAGUCAAACUCUGACACUCUCAUCAAAUCAAAUAUAAAAUUUUAACAUUCAACCCUGUGAUGGCAGCAGCCACACAGGGGUAAAUUAGUCCAUUUUUCACUUUAUUAUUUUGCUUUGCAGUAUUCUUCAUUAAUAUAAUUCAUUAAUCAUUUGGUUAAACCUAACACUGGUAUUAUGAGGCGCGCGCAUAGUAGCAUUGUAUGGUUUUUCUAAAAUGUUUUGUUAUAUUAAUUAUGUUUCUCUUUCUUUGAGUUACCUGGGUUUGGGCGGUGGCUGUUUCCUGUCUGGGCAAAAGGCGUGGCUGAGGACUCUGGGGACAAAAUGCCUGCUCAGCAGGACCAACCAUGGGCUUACCAGGAGCAGGGGUGUUUUAGGUUUAGUUGGGUUAUUCUGUGCUUGGUUAAUAUUAGUGUGUGUUUUUGUUUUCCCCCCUAUUGUGUUCAAAUGGUUUGGCCAAAUCAUUAUAAAAGCUACCCUCAUGUGUCUUUUUA